rnacentral:rRNA from 1 species
UACGUAGGGUGCGAGCGUUAAUCGGAAUUACUGGGCGUAAAGCGUGCGCAGGCGGUUCUCCAAGUCCGUUGUGAAAGCCCCGGGCUCAACCUGGGAAUGGCAGUGGAAACUAGGGGACUGGAAUCUGGCAGAGGGGGGUGGAAUGCCGCGUGUAGCAGUGAAAUGCGUAGAGAUGCGGCGGAACACCGACGGCGAAGGCAGCCCCCUGGGCUGAGAUUGACGCUCAGGCACGAAAGCGUGGGGAGCAAACGGG